rnacentral:rRNA from 1 species
CUUUAUUGGAGAGUUUGAUCCUGGCUCAGGAUGAACGCUGGCGGCGUGCCUAAUACAUGCAAGUCGAGCGAAUGGAUUGAGAGCUUGCUCUUAUGAAGUUAGCGGCGGACGGGUGAGUAACACGUGGGUAACCUGCCCAUAAGACUGGGAUAACUCCGGGAAA